rnacentral:rRNA from 1 species
CGCAUCUGUGCAUGCAGCAUAUCAAUAAGCGGAGGAAAAGAACUAACAAGGAUUCCCUUAGUAACGGCGAGUGAAGCGGGAAGAGCUCAAAUUUGAAAUCUUCAAGGUUUUACCUUGACGAAUUGUAGUUUAAAGAAGUGUUUUCUGUUGAAGUUUUGGUAAAAGUUCUUUGGAAUAGGACAUCAUAGAGGGUGAGAAUCCCGUAUUUGACCAUUAUUUUCAGCUGUGUGAUACACUUUCAAAGAGUCGGAUUGUUUGGGAAUGCAGUCCAAAAUGGGUGGUAAAUUUCAUCUAAAGCUAAAUAUUGGCGAGAGACCGAUAGCGAACAAGUACCGUGAGGGAAAGAUGAAAAGAACUUUGAAAAGAGAGUUAAACAGUACGUGAAAUUGUCAAAAGGGAAGCGUUUGACACCAGUGUCGUUUUCUCGAAAAUCAAUUAAAAAGAGUUUGAUUUUGUUGUGUAUUGACCUUAACAGCUUGCAUUUCAAUUUUCUUGCUUUUUUUAAUGCACUUUUCGUUUAACAAGUCAACAUCAGUUUCUUUUGUUGUAAAAAGGUCAUUGGAAGGUGGCUUUCUUUUCGGAGAAAGUGUUUAUAGCCUUUGACUCCUGCAAUCGGAGAGACUGAGGUCUGCAGCGUAGAUCCUUCGGGGUUAGAUACAUUUGUGCUAAGUUAUAGCUUUUUAUAGACAACUUGUUGACUAUGAUUAGUCUUGUAGCUUACUCGCUUAUGCUAUUUUACCUACGCUUAGGAUGUUGACGCGCGUGUGUGCGUGAGUCUAUACAUGACUCUGUGCAUAAUCAAUAAGCGGAGGAAAAGUCAAUACCUACGCUUAGGAUGUUGACGCGCGUGUGUGCGUG